AGAGUUUGAUCAUGGCUCAGGAUGAACGCUGGCGGCGUGCCUAACACAUGCAAGUCGAACGGAGUUAUGAUGAAACCUAGUGAUUCAUAACUUAGUGGCGGACGGGUGAGUAACGUGUGGGUAACCUGCCGUAUACAGGGGGAUAACACUUAGAAAUAGGUGCUAAAACCGCAUAAGCGCACAGGAUCGCAUGAUCCGGUGUGAAAAACUCCGGUGGUAUACGAUGGACCCGCAUCUGAUUAGCUAGUUGGUGAGGUAACGGCCCACCAAGGCGACGAUCAGUAGCCGGCCUGAGAGGGUGAACGGCCACAUUGGGACUGAGACACGGCCCAAACUCCUACGGGAGGCAGCAGUGGGGAAUAUUGCACAAUGGGGGAAACCCUGAUGCAGCAACGCCGCGUGAGUGAAGAAGUAUUUCGGUAUGUAAAGCUCUAUCAGCAGGGAAGAAAAUGACGGUACCUGACUAAGAAGCCCCGGCUAACUACGUGCCAGCAGCCGCGGUAAUACGUAGGGGGCAAGCGUUAUCCGGAUUUACUGGGUGUAAAGGGAGCGUAGACGGUUAAGCAAGUCUGAAGUGAAAUGCCGGGGCUCAACCCCGGAACUGCUUUGGAAACUGUUAAACUGGAGUGCAGGAGAGGUAAGUGGAAUUCCUAGUGUAGCGGUGAAAUGCGUAGAGAUCUGGAGGAAUACCGGUGGCGAAGGCGGCCCCCUGGACGAAGACUGACGCUCAGGUGCGAAAGCGUGGGGAGCAAACAGGAUUAGAUACCCUGGUAGUCCACGCCGUAAACGAUGUCGACUUG
rnacentral:rRNA from 1 species